CAUGCAAGUCGAGGGGAAACGACAUCGAAAGCUUGCUUUUGAUGGGCGUCGACCGGCGCACGGGUGAGUAACGCGUAUCCAACCUGCCCACCACUUGGGGAUAACCUUGCGAAAGUAAGACUAAUACCCAAUGACGUCUCUAGAAGACAUCUGAAAGAGAUUAAAGAUUUAUCGGUGAUGGAUGGGGAUGCGUCUGAUUAGCUUGUUGGCGGGGUAACGGCCCACCAAGGCGACGAUCAGUAGGGGUUCUGAGAGGAAGGUCCCCCACAUUGGAACUGAGACACGGUCCAAACUCCUACGGGAGGCAGCAGUGAGGAAUAUUGGUCAAUGGACGAGAGUCUGAACCAGCCAAGUAGCGUGCAGGAUGACGGCCCUAUGGGUUGUAAACUGCUUUUAUAAGGGAAUAAAGUGAGUCUCGUGAGACUUUUUGCAUGUACCUUAUGAAUAAGGACCGGCUAAUUCCGUGCCAGCAGCCGCGGUAAUACGGAAGGUCCGGGCGUUAUCCGGAUUUAUUGGGUUUAAAGGGAGCGUAGGCCGGAGAUUAAGCGUGUUGUGAAAUGUAGACGCUCAACGUCUGCACUGCAGCGCGAACUGGUUUCCUUGAGUACGCACAAAGUGGGCGGAAUUCGUGGUGUAGCGGUGAAAUGCUUAGAUAUCACGAAGAACUCCGAUUGCGAAGGCAGCUCACUGGAGCGCAACUGACGCUGAAGCUCGAAAGUGCGGGUAUCGAACAGGAUUAGAUACCCUGGUAGUCCGCACGGUAAACGAUGGAUGCCCGCUGUUGGUCUGAAUAGGUCAGCGGCCAAGCGAAAGCAUUAAGCAUCCCACCUGGG
rnacentral:rRNA from 1 species